rnacentral:rRNA from 1 species
CCUACGGGCGGCAGCAGUGGGGAAUAUUGGGCAAUGGGCGCAAGCCUGACCCAGCAACGCCGCGUGAAGGAAGAAGGCUUUCGGGUUGUAAACUUCUUUUCUCAGGGACGAAGCAAGUGACGGUAGCUGAGGAAUAAGCCACGGCUAACUACGUGCCAGCAGCAGCGGUAAUACGUAGGUGGCAAGCGUUAUCCGGAUUUACUGGGUGUAAAGGUCGUGUAGGCGGGAAAGCAAGUCAGCUGUGAAAACCAUGGGCUCAAACUGUGGCCUGCAUUUGAAACUGUCUUUCUUGAGUACUGGAGAGGCAGACGGAAUUCCUAGUGUAGCGGUGAAAUGCGUAGAUAUUAGGAGGAACACCAGUGGCGAAGGCGGUCUGCUGGACAGCAACUGACGCUGAGGCGCGAAAGCGUGGGGAGCAAACAGGAUUAGAUACCCCUGUAGUC